ACAUAUCUUUAGCACUAAAAAUUAAGCCUUCCACAAACGGCCUCCAUAACUUACAAGAAUCUUUAAGUGGAUCUCUUUUUGAUCAUCCAAGACACUUUACGAAGCGAUCUGGAGCCGCAGAAGUGUGGCCAAAAAAUCGGCCGUACUAUCAUUUUCUCAUAACUUCGUUUAAAAUAAGAUAAUGUUGAUAAAAUUAGAAGCACUCAGGAAACAAGCCGGGACUGUAUAAACAUGUCAUGUGCUGUGCCAACACUCAUGGUCAGAAAUAAAACCGUCGGGAUGAACCACAGAUGUUGACAGGUCUCGGUGGAUUCUCUUAUCUUCACAGCUUUAGAGUUAAACAAAAUUCAGCCUGUCCUUGCAAUAAUACAGCUGAAGAGCCAUGUCCUCAAUAACAGGAGUACUGAACAAUUUAUAGGUAUGAACAUAACACAGCCGAGUAGUGCUGGCCUAGUGGCUUCAGCGUACGACUCUCAUCCCUGCGGUUCAAACCCCAGCUGUUCACCAAUGGACUAGAAAGUCCAUUGUAAACAACCUAGCCUGUCUUGCGGACAACGGACCGGGUACGAGACUAAGUACGGAAAAUGUGUCCAC